UAGCCAGACUGCCGGUGAUAAAUCGGAGGAAGGUGGGGGACGACGGUCAAAUCAUCAUGCCCUUUAUGUCCUGGGCUACACACGUACUACAAUGGCCGUUACAACGGGAAGCGAAGGAGCAAUCCGGAGCAAAUCCCUUAAAGGCGGUCCCAGUUCAGAUUGUGGGCUGAAACUCGCCCACAUGAAGGCGGAAUUGCUAGUAAUUGCAGAUCAGCAUGCUGCAGUGAAUACGUUCCCGGGCCUU
rnacentral:rRNA from 1 species